rnacentral:lncRNA from 1 species
UCAUAAGUUUUAUAUAUGAGCAUGGUAGUGAGAGGGGCGGGGGUUUGGACAUUUAGUUGCCCAAUUUUGUGCCUAAAAGCCUAUCAUUUGCUACCCCUAGCUACUUACCUAAAAAUUUGCCCAAUUUGACCCGGUCUUUUAGUAUUAGUAGUAGUUGUAGUAAUGUGAUGUAGAUAUGUGAUGCUUUAUUGCAUGGUUAUUUUCUCUAAAAAAAAAGCAGAAAAAUCGAAAAAAAAGAAAAAAAAAAGAAAGAAAAGAAAAAAAUAUGAAAAAUGAAAAGAAAGGAUGUUAGUUGUCUUGUAUUUAGUAGUUAGUUUGGUAGUUGUUAUUUUGUUUAAUUGUGUAAUAAAAAGACCGGGCCAAAUUUUCGCUACUUCAUAUAUAUCCCAUUUCGUACCUAUACACAUAGCCACGUUACAACCUUGAAGUCCCUUUGAAUUGCAUUCAUGUUUGGCACUUAUAGGAGAAGGAUUGAUUUAUGUACAAGCCUAUGAUCGCGCAACCACCCGUUUGCCUAUUGUGUGUCUAGCUUAUCGUUGCUAGUAUUCAAUUGUAGCCGAGAGGAGAGAUUUAGAGAGGGGUGCAUUGGUUGGGUGUUAAAAAGGGGUUAGUAAAAAGAUUGCUUGUUUUGCUUGGUUUACAUUGAUCACUUGUUUAGAAACUGAUUUGAUGAGUUGCUUUGGGACAAGCAACGGUUAAGUGUGGGGAUGUGACGGGUGGUCCAUUGGACAACCCUUUGCGAAGCUAAAAGACCAGUUUAUCCCUCAUUUAUGUGUACGGUUUGGCGGCUCAAAUGGAGGAAAAAUGCAGCUUUGAAGGCUUACAAGUUGAACGGGUUGAGAAUGUGGAGCAUAAGAUGAACGAAGCACAAAAUUCAGGCUGCCACCGUAAAUUACGGUCCCACCGUAAUUUACGGUGGACCUGAAAAUCAUUUUUGUUCCUACCGUAAAAUAGUAGUGCAGCACCGUAACACUUUUAUGUCCACCGUAAUUUACGGUGGAGCCGUAAAUUACGGUGGAGUCUGCGGAAUUUGUGUAACUGCCACAUUAAGUGAGUUUUGAUGGUGUCUUUUCACCUAUUCUGAUCAUUGGACGUUUUUGGAGCUUGCUAGGGGCGAUUUUGGUGAUCUUGCUUGGUUGUAAACAUUAUCUAAACAUUUCGUUUGUGUU